rnacentral:rRNA from 1 species
ACGGGAGGCAGCAGUGGGGAAUAUUGCACAAUGGGGGAAACCCUGAUGCAGCGACGCCGCGUGAGUGAAGAAGUAUUUCGGUAUGUAAAGCUCUAUCAGCAGGGAAGAAAACAAUGACGGUACCUGACUAAGAAGCCCCGGCUAACUACGUGCCAGCAGCCGCGGUAAUACGUAGGGGGCAAGCGUUAUCCGGAUUUACUGGGUGUAAAGGGAGUGUAGGCGGCUGCGCAAGUCAGAAGUGAAAGCCCGGGGCUUAACCCCGGGACUGCUUUUGAAACUGCGUAGCUUGAGUGCAGGAGAGGCAAGCGGAAUUCCUAGUGUAGCGGUGAAAUGCGUAGAUAUUAGGAAGAACACCGGUGGCGAAGGCGGCUUGCUGGACUGAGACUGACGCUGAGGCUCGAAAGCGUGGGGAGCAAACAGGAUUAGAUACCCUGGUA